CCUACGGGUGGCAGCAGUGAGGAAUAUUGGUCAAUGGACGCAAGUCUGAACCAGCCAUGCCGCGUGCAGGAUGACGGCCCUAUGAGUUGUAAACUGCUUUUGUACGAGGGUAAACCCCGAUACGUGUAUCUUGUUGCAAGUACCGUAUGAAUAAGGAUCGGCUAACUCCGUGCCAGCAGCCGCGGUAAUACGGAGGAUCCGAGCGUUAUCCGGAUUUAUUGGGUUUAAAGGGUGCGUAGGCGGUUCGGUAAGUUAGAUGUGAAAUGCCGGGGCUCAACCCCGGAACUGCCGCUGAUACUGUCGGGCUAGAGUGUAGUUGCGGUAGGCGGAAUGUGUGGUGUAGCGGUGAAAUGCUUAGAGAUCAUACAGAACACCGAUUGCGAAGGCAGCUUACCAAACUGUGACUGACGUUGAGGCACGAAAGCGUGGGUAGCAAACAGGAUUAGAUACCCCAGUAGUC
rnacentral:rRNA from 1 species